rnacentral:rRNA from 1 species
UACGUAGGGUGCAAGCGUUGUCCGGAAUUAUUGGGCGUAAAGAGCUCGUAGGUGGUCUGUCACGUCGGCUGUGAAAACCCGAGGCUCAACCUCGGGCCUGCAGUCGAUACGGGCAGACUAGAGUUCGGUAGGGGAGACUGGAAUUCCUGGUGUAGCGGUGGAAUGCGCAGAUAUCAGGAAGAACACCAACGGCGAAGGCAGCUCGCUGGGACGGUACUGACGCUGAGACGCGAAAGCGUGGGGAGCGAACAGG